rnacentral:tRNA from 1 species
ACUUAAAUAGCUUAAAUUUUAAAGCACAAUAUUGAAGAUAUUGGGAUAAGUUUUUUACUUUUUAAGUA